UUAAGUUAAUUGUGGACUUGAUUAAUAUUUUCCAAACUUUCUAAUCUUUUUAAAAAUUCAAAUCAACCUAACCCACACCCCUCUUCAAUCCAAAUCAACCAGUCUCUCUCUCUCUCAACUCUCUCCCAACCAACAGUUCUGCAAAUUUCUCCUUUCAAUCCUCGGCAACUUCAACAUCCGAUGACAAAUAGUUGGGCUUCGAGUUCCUUUUCAACUUCAACCUUCAAUCGACGUGGCAACCUUGCUCUCCAGCCACAACAAUUUUGAAUUCUUCAACCUUCAAUCGACGUGAUAGCCUUGCUCUCCGGCCACAACAACUUUAUAUUUAUCAUCGUUCCUUUUCUUCUUUCACAGGUAAUGACCUUUUAGUUUUGAAGAAAAUGAGGAACUUGAGUCAACUUCUCUUAUAGUAUUAGUUAACAAUUUCAAUAUUUGUUGUUUUAAUUUGAAAUGUGGUCUGAACAAUACCCUAAUUUCUGGUAUUUCUUCUCUUCUCUUUUCAAAGUGAAUGAUAUUUUUUGUUAUUUAUUGCAUGUUUUUGAAGUUUGAUUUUUGUUGUUUGUGUUUAUAAAAACAAAACAAUGAUUUGGGUUGAUUUGUUCUAUUCUUGUUAUUGGUAAAAAUGGUAAUAUUGUUGUUUUUCUAUUGAACAAAAUCAUGCUACUAUUUUUUAUUUUAUCCAAUAGAUUAUUCAUCUGGUGCAACAUAUUAACCAUCUGAUGCAACAUAGUUGUCAGAUGACGCAACAGAUCAACCAUCUGAUGCACCAGAGGAACCAUCAGAUUAUAAUUCUGAUGCAACAGAUUAAUCAUCUGAUGCAACAGAUUAAUCAUAUGAUGCAACAGUUUAAAUAUCUGAUGCAACAGAUUAACCACAUGUUGCAAUAGAUUAAGCAUCGGAUAAAAAAUUUGAUGUAGCUAAUUAACCAUCUGAUGCAAUAAAAAACCAUCAGAUUUAUGAUCUGAUGCAACAGAUGAACCUCCUGUUGGAUAAAAUUCUAUCAACUCUUCCAACAGGAUAUGUCCAAGACAUAAUUUUUUCAACUGAUCAUUCAUCUUGCCAUGAUAGACGGCCCAAUGUUGGAAGAAAUCUAAACAAUAUUGAUCGUUGAAAACUGUUCCAAUAGAUCACUCAUGUGUUGCAACAAAUGUGUGACCUAUCGCACAGACCAUUCAUCUUUCUCAACAGAUGAGUGAUAUAUUUUGUAUUAUCACACCAUAUUACUCAGUUGUUGCUGCAGGUUAGUUAACUGUUCCGAUAGAUCACUUAUCUAUUGAGAAAGUGAAUGGUCUGUGGUACUCAGCCAUUGCUACAGAUUAUUUAACUAUUUUAAUAAAUCAAUUAUAUGUUGCAACAGAUGAUGUUGCAACAUAUGUUUGAUCUACUGCACAGAACAUUCAUUUUUCUUAACAGAUGAGCGGUAUGUUUUGUAUUGUUGCAACAGAUUACUCAUCCGUUGCAACAGGUUAUUUAACUGUCCUAACAGAUUACUCAUGUUGCAACAAUAUGUGAUUUGUUGCACAGACCAUUCAUCUGUCUUAAAAGAUGAGUGAUAUAUUUUGUAUAGUUGCAACAGAUUGCUCAUCCGCUGCAACAGGUUUAUUAUAUGCUGCAACAGUUAUACUACCUGGUGCAACAGAUAAGUGAUCUGUUGGAACUGUUAUUUUACUAUUUUGCUUGUUAGAUUUACUGUUACCCUUUUUUAACGAUGCAUUAAUCAACUAUAAUAUAUUUUUUUUAUGUUCUUGUUAACUUUAGAUAAUAUGGCUCCCAAAACUACAGAAGCCGAAUCAAGUCCAAGUAAAAGAACAAGUGAAGUAGAUAGACUAUAUCCACCACUCUAUGAUCUUACUUUACAACUAUUAGCUCAAUCAAGAGCAGAAUAUGAUAAACACGGAGAGGAGGAAUGUUUCAAAAGAGAUGAUACAAAUGCUAAUAGCCCUUUUGCCGAAGAGUUGGUCAAAACCUUCAGCAUUGAUCGUUAUCCUGUGAGAAUGCAGUGCGAUGGUGCCACAGAUUUAACGGGUGAUUCGUGGUUAAGUCAGCCAUGGGAAAAUCUUUCAACGCCUUUAGAAAAAUACUUCGAGAACAAAAAUUGGAUACUUAUUUCAGGGACAACUACUUUGGGAAAUAUCUUGAUUUGUCGGAGGAUAACAAUGCUCAUUUCCAAAUAAAAAUGGUAUAUGAACUUCUCAAGCGUAGAUUUAUGUAUGAAAACAAAUAUAAGAUGGAUGAGCUGUGGAUAAAUUACUAUGGCAUGCCUCUUUGUUUUAGUUGGAAGGAGUUUGCCAUAGUUACUGCACUAAAAUGUUAUCCUCCUUCUCAAGUUAUACCUAUUCUAACCCCAAAAAAUCACCCCACACACACAAAAAAGGCAAAGAAAAUUCGUGUGAUCGUGAUGACCUGGUGUCCAUUGUUGGUCAAAGCUUCAAAAAUAAAAAUUUGAUAGAAGCGUUGAAAGAUAAAGAACUUUCAAAGAAGCACAAGCAGUCAUUGUGCUUGGUUUGGUUUGUACAUAAUAUUCUUUGGGCGAGAGACGUUAAUAAUAACAUAAGCAUUGGUUUAAUAAAGCUCUUCGAGGAUCUCGAGGCGUUUAACAGCUAUCCUUGGGGUUACGAAAGCUUCAAAAUGACUGUCCAAUAUUUGUUGACUCCGUUAGCGCCAAAGACAGUCAACUUAUAUGGCUUUCCAUGGGCUUUUAUGGUAAAUGUUUCAUUUCUUUCUUUUAUUAUGAUAUCAUUUUUUUUUACUCAAUAAUGAUUUUAAUUUAUUGGCGUUAUUUUAUAGGCUUGGGCGUUUGAAACCAUUCCUCAUUUGAGACAACAAGUUAACUACCAGGAAGAAGUUUUCUGUCAAAGAAUCUUGAGAAGGUUGUCGGCCAAAACUGAUAAAAAUGCAAAAUUUCUUGAUCUCUUCAACCCCCUGAAGGAUACAGUAAGUAUAAUUAUAAAUAAUUUUUUAUUUUAAUUAAUGAUUUUUUUGAAUAAUCUAAUCAUCAUUCUAAUAUAUGUAAUGAUUUAUGUUAGAAUGUGCAUUCGUCGCUAGUUCCGACCAAUCGAUAGUUGAAGAUGCCAUUUUUUCUUACUUUACGGUCUGUGCAAACUUUUUCAGACCCUAAGGUCAUCGAUAAAAUAAAAAUGGAAUUGUUUGGAGCAACAACUAUUACAAGAAAAAUAGUUUUGGAGGAUGAGCUUUUUAUUGUUGAUGGUCUUAGUGGUAAUGGAGCUGUUGGUGAUGGUAGUGGUGUUUCUGUUGGUGCUAAUGAUGCUCUUCUUAUAGUAUUUAAAACAAACCAUUAUGAUUAUGAUCAUACUAGUUAUACAAAUUUUGUCUCUCUCAGGAAAUGUUCUACAUGCAAAUCAAGCACCCAAAAGAGCGAAAUUGCAACUCCUCUGUCCGUGUGUUGCACUGAGCAAUGUACAAUGUCCAAAAGAGAGCAACACGAGAUGAACAAGGUUAAUAGAUAUGUCUUCCAACUAACUAACAAACAGGCACAUUUCUAUUUUAAUGGAUGACAGAUCUGCUGAAAAUUAUCAAACAGAUAUAUACAUCUGUUGCAACAGUUGACUAACUUAUUGCACUAGAUAAAGUACUUGUUGCGACAUAUAUCUCGUCUGUUGUAGCAAAUCAAACAACUCUUUGUGCCACUUUUAUUUGUACCAAUAGAUGACCUAUCUGCUGUAAUAGAUGAGUCAUAUGUUGCAACAGAUGGUUCAUCCAUUGAAAAUUAUCAUACAGUUUUUUCUCAUGUAGAAUUUGACCCAACAGUUGAUUCAUUGUUUCAAUAGAAAUAUAAUCUAUUUGGGAAAAUUUAAAAUAGGAGGAAGACCUGUUUGAUUUGCUAGAACAGAUGAGUUAUCCUUUUUCGUUGUGUUGUAUCUUCGUGAUUAACAUUGACCAAUUCUGGCUUUCCAGGUGGAUGUAGAAGCUACUCUUGAACAACAUUGAUAAUAUGCUACUCUACUUUUUUUAUGGAAAUACGGAGAACAGAAAGUGCAAAAACUGUACGUAAGUGACAAUAAAAAUCCAUGAUGAGCAAAACCAAAUUCCAUAGCACCAGAUGAAGAGCAACUUGUCAAUAUUGAGUAGAUCUUUAUAGCUUGAGUCUGUCAAAGUAAUAAUCUCACCCCUCCUUAGGAAUCCUUAGCAUCAAUAUUUAAAUUGUUGAUGUAUUUGUUGAGAUCUGUAACCAUAACAAUUUUUUUAUAUUUCAUUUAUUCGUUGAUUUUAUUUCAUCUAAUUUUUUAAAGAUUCG
rnacentral:lncRNA from 1 species